GGCGCUGUGGCUUAGCUGGUCAAAGCACAUGUCUUGUAAACAGGAGAUCUUGAGUUCAAAUCCUAGCAGUGCCU
rfam:Danio rerio chromosome 4, GRCz11 reference primary assembly.